CUACGGGCUGCUCCAGUGAGGAAUAUUGCACAAUGGGGGCAACCCUGAUGCAGCAACGCCGCGUGGAGGAUGACGCAUUUCGGUGUGUAAACUCCUUUUAUCAGAAAAGAACCAUGACGGUAUCUGAUGAAUAAGCUCCGGCUAACUCCGUGCCAGCAGCCGCGGUAAUACGGAGGGAGCAAGCGUUAUUCGGAAUCACUGGGCGUAAAGGACGCGUAGGCCGGUCUGUAAGUCAGGUGUGAAAUGCAAUGGCUCAACCAUUGAACUGCACUUGAAACUGCGGACCUAGAGUAUGGAAGGGGCAGAUGGAAUUAGUGGUGUAGGGGUAAAAUCCGUAGAUAUCACUAGGAAUACCGAAAGCGAAGGCGAUCUGCUGGGACAUAACUGACGCUGAGGCGUGAAAGCGUGGGGAGCAAACAGGAUUAGAUACCCCCGUAGUC
rnacentral:rRNA from 1 species